rnacentral:rRNA from 1 species
UACGUAGGGUGCAAGCGUUAAUCGGAAUUACUGGGCGUAAAGGGUGCGUAGGUGGUGGGGUAAGUCGGAUGUGAAAUCUCCGAGCUCAACUCGGAAAUGGCAUUGGAAACUACCUUGCUCGAGGGUUGGAGGGGGGACUGGAAUACUUGGUGUAGCAGUGAAAUGCGUAGAUAUCAAGUGGAACACCAGUGGCGAAGGCGAGUCCCUGGACAACUCCUGACACUGAGGCACGAAAGCUAGGGGAGCAAACAGG